AAAGCAAGGCCCCGCCUCCGCCCUCGCGUGCCUGUGAGAGGCCGCGGAGGAGCCCCGCGCGCAGAGCCUCCCUUCGCCCGGCGAGCGGGCUGCGCGCCCCUCGGCCCGCCGCGCUACCUCACAGGGUUGCUAGGAGGAGGAGGAGAACGCAAGAGGAGGCCCAAGGCCGCUCUCGCCGUGGCCGGACGGGUCGUUUUAAGACCCCGCCUUUGUUAUCCCAAGGAGCUCAAGGUGGCGCAGUGACCCUCACAGACAACCCUGCGAGGGGCAAGGAUGAAAAAGAUCUACACAAAUGAAGAAAUUCAAGUUUUUAAAGAAAAAAGAAAACCAAGCAGCUUCAGUGCACAGAAUGCUAACUGACAGUUGCAGGAAUGGUAUGACUUGAAGCAAAACAGACUGUUCAUAUGACAAUGUUUUGUUGCAGGAACCCUACUGGUUCUAAAAAAAAUUAAAAUAAGGCCCUGAUUCUCAUUUCCAAUAAUUCUGUAUUCACUCACCAGAACACUGGAAGGCAGGAGCAUAUUCACAUCUCAGUG